rnacentral:rRNA from 1 species
UACCAGCACCCCGAGUGGUCGGGACGAUUAUUGGGCCUAAAGCAUCCGUAGCCGGUUUUACAAGUCCCCCGUUAAAUCCACCUGCUUAACAGAUGGGCCGCGGAGGAUACUAUAAGACUAGGAGGCAGGAGAGGCAAGCGGUACUCAGUGGGUAGGGGUAAAAUCCGUUGAUCCAUUGAAGACCACCAGUGGCGAAGGCGGCUUGCCAGAAUGCGCUCGACGGUGAGGGAUGAAAGCUGGGGGAGCAAACCGG